AGUUGGUGGGGUAACGGCCUACCAAGGCGGUGAUCUGUAGCUGGUUUGAGAGGACGACCAGCCACACUGGGACUGAGACACGGCCCAGACUCCUACGGGAGGCAGCAGUGGGGAAUUUUCGACAAUGGGGGGAACCCUGAUCGAGCCAUCUCGCGUGUGGGACGAAGGCCUUCGGGUUGUAAACCACUUUUCUCAACGAAGAAAAGUCUUAGGCUAAUACCUUAAGAUGCUGACGGUAGUUGAGGAAUAAGCACCGGCUAACUACGUGCCAGCAGCCGCGGUAAUACGUAGGGUGCGAGCGUUAAUCGGAAUUACUGGGCGUAAAGGGUGCGCAGGCGGCUUGGAAAGAACGGUGUGAAAUCCCGGGGCUCAACCUCAAUAUGCCUUGCGAACUGUAAUGCUUGAGUGCAGGAGGGGAAAGCGGAAUUCCUAGUGUAGCGGUGAAAUGCGUAGAGAUUAGGAAGAACACCGGUGGCGAAGGCGGCUUUCUGGACUGCAACUGACACUGAGGCACGAAAGCGUGGGUAGCAAACAGGAUUAGAUACCCUGGUAGUCCACGCCGUAAACGAUGAGCACUAGUUGUUGGUUCCGGAU
rnacentral:rRNA from 1 species